rnacentral:rRNA from 1 species
GAUGAACGCUGGCGGCGUGCCUAAUACAUGCAAGUCGAGCGAAUGGAUUAAGCGCUUGCUCUUAUGAAGUUAGCGGCGGACGGGUGAGUAACACGUGGGUAACCUGCCCAUAAGACUUGGAUAACUCCGGGAAACCGGGGCUAAUACCGGAUAACAUUUUGAACCGCAUGGUUCGAAAUUGAAAGGCGGCUUCGGCUGUCACUUAUGGAUGGACCCGCGUCGCAUUAGCUAGUUGGUGAGGUAACGGCUCACCAAGGCAACGAUGCGUAGCCGGCUUGAGAGGGUGAUCGGCAACACUGGGACUGAGACACGGGCCAGACUCCUACGGGAGGCAGCAGUAGGGAAGCUUCCGCAAUGGACGAAAGUCUGACGGAGCAACGCCGCGUGAGUGAUGAAGGCUUUCGGGUCGUAAAACUCUGUUGUUAGGGAAGAACAAGUGCUAGUUGAAUAAGCUGGCACCUUGACGGUACCUAACCAGAAAGCCACGGCUAACUACGUGCCAGCAGCCGCCGUAA